ACGGAAGGCAGCAGUGGGGAAUAUUGCACAAUGGGGGAAACCCUGAUGCAGCGACGCCGCGUGAAGGAAGAAGUAUCUCGGUAUGUAAACUUCCAUCAGCAGGGAGGAUAAUGACGGUACCUGACUAAGAAGCCCCGGCUAACUACGUGCCAGCAGCCGCGGUAAUACGUAGGGGGCAAGCGUUAUCCGGAUUUACUGGGUGUAAAGGGAGCGUAGACGGAAAGGCAAGUCUGAUGUGAAAGGCAGGGGCUCAACUCCUGGACUGCAUUGGAAACUGUUUUUCCUGAGUACCGGAGGGGUAAGCGGAAUUCCUAGUGUAGCGGUGAAAUGCGUAGAUAUUAGGAGGAACACCGGUGGCGAAGGCGGCUUACUGGACGGCAACUGACGUUGAGGCUCGAAAGCGUGGGGAGCAAACAGGAUUAGAUACCCUGGUA
rnacentral:rRNA from 1 species